GAUGAACGCUGGCGGCGUGCUUAACACAUGCCAGUCGAACGGUGAAGGCGGAGCUUGCUCUGCUGGAUCAGUGGCGAACGGGUGAGUAACACGUGAGCAAUCUGCCCCUGACUCUGGGAUAAGCGCUGGAAACGGCGUCUAAUACUGGAUACGAGCUGCGAAGGCAUCUUCAGCAGCUGGAAAGUAUUUCGGUCAGGGAUGAGCUCGCGGCCUAUCAGCUUGUUGGUGAGGUAAUGGCUCACCAAGGCGUCGACGGGUAGCCGGCCUGAGAGGGUGACCGGCCACACUGGGACUGAGAGACGGCCCAGACUCCUACGGGAGGCAGCAGUGGGGAAUAUUGCACAAUGGGCGGAAGCCUGAUGCAGCAACGCCGCGUGAGGGACGACGGCCUUCGGGUUGUAAACCUCUUUUAGCAGGGAAGAAGCGAAAGUGACGGUACCUGCAGAAAAAGCGCCGGCUAACUACGUG
rnacentral:rRNA from 1 species